UACGGGGGGGGCAAGCGUUGUUCGGAAUUACUGGGCGUAAAGGGCUCGUAGGUGGCCAACUAAGUCAGACGUGAAAUCCCUCGGCUUAACCGGGGAACUGCGUCUGAUACUGGAUGGCUUGAGUUCGGGAGAGGGAUGCGGAAUUCCAGGUGUAGCGGUGAAAUGCGUAGAUAUCGGGAAGAACACCAGUGGCGAAGGCGCUCUACUGGGCCACAACUGACGCUGAGGGACGAAAGCUAGGGGAGCGAAAGGG
rnacentral:rRNA from 1 species